ensembl:lncRNA
CAGUAUGUUACUCCUAAUGACAAAAUAUCUCCUUUAAAAAUAUUCCUCUCAAAAAAAAAAUUCCUCUGUAUUGUGUCAGUCCUUUCAUUUCAAACAUAUGUAUCUGUGCAGAAACACGGAAGAGAAUAGGUGGUGUUGAGCUAUGGGUGGGUGCAUUUGAGAGAUGGCUCGUUGUUAUUUUUAUAGGUCUUUUGACAAGUGUCUUUACUCCAGAAGAAAUUUCAGGAGGUACAGGGGCAUAGACCUUAUUUCCUGGACACAGAUAAAGACAUGAAGUUAGUCACUCGGCAGUGACUUAGAGUGAGCUGUGCGAGAGUGACUUUUCCAGAUGUCUUUGGGCUUUACAGGUUGGAACUGUCUUUAGAGAAUGGCUUGGAUGUGAUUUAACAUUUUCUAAAUUGGUUCACCCAUCUCUGAGUUUGGAGGAUGUAUUGCUUCGUGCUUCCCCAGAUUAAUGUACUGCCAGCAGCUCUGACGCUCCCAUCUCAGGAAAUUCAUUAACACGUUGGGAAAUCCAGAGACCAGGUGUGGCACCGAAAGGUUAAUCUAUCCUCAUUUUUUCUUCAUCGCAACUUCAGAGUGAAUUAUACUCUAGUCAUUUAAAGUGAACAAAUGAAGGCAAUAUACCUUACCUGUGCUUAACAUGCUUGGUGUGAUUCAUGCAGAGCUCGAUUUUAGUCAAGGUGUGUGGACAUUGUGUGUGUUUAUGUGUCUUGCACACAUCGCAUAACUCCUAAGCAUCUUUAAUACGGUUGUAUUAUGGUUUCUUUAACUAUGUUGUGUGUGCUCUUUUUGCUCCAAUUUAUGAGUAAAAAGAAGUCUGCAGGCAUACUACGGAAAUACAGACUUUCCAGGCCAUUUCAGUGUGCACAGAGAAAAGGAAGCCCGCAGGGCUUGAGAAGGAUUGAUGGGCUUUGUCAAGACACCUUUGCUUUGUUUGGGGACUGGACUGCGGUCUUAGAAGGUGUCUUUCAUUCUCAUCACUCGUUAUCUGGGGAUGGAGAAUUCCAGUAACAGAAACAUUUUUCUCCUGUUCCCCACAGUUUAAAGAGGUAAACUAAGUUCCAUCUCAUUAUUGUGUGCCUCAUGACAUGUUUCUUUCUACCCUUGCCCUCUGAUUAUUUAUUUUCAACAAACCUGCUAGAAUGAUUCUUUCUUUUUAAAUAAACUUUGCUAAGCUAUAAUUUUUAUACCAAUAUAUACAUUUAAGUGUAUAGUUGAAUGAAUUCUGACAAAUGCAUUCCCCUGGAUUACCAUUACAUCACUCAAAACACACAUUUCUAUUGUUCCAGAAGUUUCCCUUGUGUUCCUUUGCAAUCUAUGACUCCACCUCACUCUUGGCACCAAAAGACCACUGAUUUUCUUUCUCUAGAACUUGUUUUCCUAUGCUAGAACUUGUCUGAUUUCUUUUGAUUAACAUAAUCAUCCACAUUGCUGCUUAUGGCAGUUAUUUUGUUUCUUUUUGUUGUUGAGUACGAUGACACUUUAUGGUCAUUCUAUAGUUUUUAAAAAGUCAUUUCCCUGUUGAUAUACAUUUAGUUUAUUUCCACCUUGGUGCUAGUAUAAAUAAAGGUGUUAUGAACACAUUUGAAUUUUUUUGGUAGACAUGUAUUUUCAUUUCUCUUGGGUAAAUACUUAGGAGUGGAACUGCCAAAUCAUGUGAUAAGUGUAUGUUUAUCUUUAUAAAAACUGCCAAAUUCCUUUCCAAAGUAGUUGCACAAUUUUAUAAUCCCACUAGAAUUUCAUGAGAGCUCAAUUUGCUCUACAUCUUUGUCAAAACUUAGAAUUGUUAUGCUUUUAAUUUUUGUUACUCUAGUGGAUGUUACAUGUUACUUCAAUUUUGGUUCUAAUGUGCAAUUUUGUCAUAAAACAUAACGAAACAUUUUUAUGAUGAAAAUGCACAUUAGAACCAAUACCUAAUGUAGAUGACAGGUUGAUGGGUAAAGCAAACCACCAUGGCACGUGUAUACCCGUGUAACAAACCUGCACAUUCUGCACAUAUAUCCCAGAACUUAAAGUAUGAAAAAAAAAAGAUACUAAAAAUGAAAGCUACUUACCAGUAUAUAAAAAAGGGACUAAAAUCAAAUGAAACAAUGUUUUAUUGAACCACAUUAGAGCCAUAUAAUUUUGGCACACUAGAACCAGAAUUGAUGAAUCAAUGUUUCAUCAUGAAAACACACAUUAGAACCAAAACUGAAAUACUAUUUCAAUUCAUAUUCUUAUUAGUCAUAUCUUUUUUUUCUGAAGUAUCUGUAGAAGUCUCUUGGUUGUUUGUCUUACAUACAUAUAUGAUUUCAAAAUAUCUUCUUACAGUAGGUAUGGCAUGAUUUCAUUUUCUUAAUUAUCAUUCUUGAAGAUAAGUUUUAGAUUGUGAUGAUAUCCAAUUUACAAGUGAUUAUCACACUUUAUCUUAUAUUCUGUGAUCUUGUUAAGUUCACUUAUUAAUUCUAAUGUUUUUUGAUUCCUUGAUAUUUUCAACAAGGUAAGCAUGUUGUCUAAGAAUACCAAUAGUGUUACUUCUUUUCAAUAUUUAUGACUUUUAUUUCUUGGCUCAUUGUACUGGCCAGACCAGAUCUCCAGUACAAUAUAAAGUAUAAUUCACAAGAGUGGUUAUUAUUGCCAGAUUCUUGCUCUUAGUGUUCAGUUUCUGAUCACUAAGUAUGAGAAGCACUAAGUUUUUUUUUUUUCUAAUGUAUGUGCUGUAUCAAGUUAGAAAAAAUUCCCUUCUAUUUCUAGUUUCCUGAGUUCACAUAUCAAAGUGUUUAAUAUUUAUCCAAUGGUUUUUCAGGAAGUACCAAGAUGUUCAUUUGGUUGUUCUCCUUUGUUCUAUUAAUAUGGUGAAACACAUUGAUUCAUUUCUGAAUGUUUAAAUAACCUUGCAUUUCUGCAUCAUGAAGUAUUUUCUUUGAUAUAUAUUGCUGACCUCUAUUUGCUAAUGUUUUUUUUGAGGAUUUUUGCAUCUAUAUUCAUGAUGAACAAUGAUCUAUAGUUUUAUUUUCUUGUAAUGUCUUUGGUUUUCUUAUCAGGGUUAUGUUGUCCUCAUAAAAAGAAUUGAAAAGUAUUACCUUCUCUAAUAUUUAAAAGAUUUUUUGUAAAAUUAGUGUUUUUCCUUAAGUGUUUGAUAAAAUUCACUAGAAAAACCAUCUAACCCUUGAGUUGUAUCUGUC